UACGGAGGUGGCGAGCGUUGUCCGGAAUCACUGGGCGUAAAGGGCGCGUGAGGUGGCCCGUUAAGUGGCUGGUGAAAUCCCGCGGCUCAACUGCGGGGCUGCCGGUCAUAACUGGCGAGCUAGAGCACGGUAGGGGCAGAUGGAAUUCCCGGUGUAGCGGUGGAAUGCGUAGAUAUCGGGAGGAACACCUGUGGCGAAAGCGGCUUCACUGGACCGCAACUGACGCUGAGGCGCGAAAGCUAGGGGAGCAAACAGG
rnacentral:rRNA from 1 species